AGCUGACUUCGAGGGAGAGGCAUUGGUCGGCUGCAUCCUUCACGUAAGAGGAGGACCCGGGUUCAUUCCUUGACAUAUCCAGAUGGAAAAGUUGGCUAGCUUCUUGCUUUUAUGGGGAGCGUUUCCUUCAGGAGUCCUCGGCUUCCCAGAUGGAAAAAUCAGUGAGGCUUGUAGCUCCAUGUUUCCGGGUCAUGGACACUCUGCCCAGAACUCUGCACCGCCAUAUGCCAUCUCCGUCUCCAAAACUUCAUUUGCCCCAGGAGAUGAAAUUAUAGUAUCUCUUACGGCAAGCGGCAGUUCCAGUUUUGAGGGAUUUUUACUCCAGGCCCGAGCUGUUGGAGGUAAUGUUGCUGUGGGACAUUUUCGAAUCCUAGACCCUAACUCACAAGGCCUUGCGUGUAAUGACAUUCAGAAUUCUUCCCUGAGUCACACAAACAAGGCAAAGAAGCAAAACAUAACAGCAAUUUGGAU